rnacentral:rRNA from 1 species
GGAUCCAGACUUUGAUCCUGGCUCAGGAUGAACGCUGGCGGCGUGCCUAACACAUGCAAGUCGAACGGAGCUGCUUUGAUGAAGUUUUCGGAUGGAUUUAAAGCAGCUUAGUGGCGGACGGGUGAGUAACGCGUGGGUAACCUGCCUCACACUGGGGGAUAACAGUUAGAAAUAGCUGCUAAUACCGCAUAAGCGCACAGUUCCGCAUGGAACAGUGUGAAAAACUCCGGUGGUGUGAGGUGGACCCGCGUCUGAUUAGCCAGUUGGCGGGGUAACGGCCCACCAAAGCGACGAUCAGUAGCCGGCCUGAGAGGGUGAACGGCCACAUUGGGACUGAGACACGGCCCAAACUCCUACGGGAGGCAGCAGUGGGGAAUAUUGCACAAUGGGGGAAACCCUGAUGCAGCGACGCCGCGUGAGUGAAGAAGUAUUUCGGUAUGUAAAGCUCUAUCAGCAGGGAAGAAAGUGACGGUACCUGAAUAAGAAGCCCCGGCUAACUACGUGCCAGCAGCCGCGGUAAUACGUAGGGGGCAAGCGUUAUCCGGGUUUACUGGGUGUAAAGGGAGCGUAGACGGCAAGGCAAGUCUGAAGUGAAAGCCCGGUGCUUAACGCCGGGACUGCUUUGGAAACUGUUUGGCUGGAGUGCCGGAGAGGUAAGCGGAAUUCCUAGUGUAGCGGUGAAAUGCGUAGAUAUUAGGAAGAACACCAGUGGCGAAGGCGGCUUACUGGACGGUAACUGACGUUGAGGCUCGAAAGCGUGGGGAGCAAACAGGAUUAGAUACCCUGGUAGUCCACGCCGUAAACGAUGAUUGCUAGGUGUAGGUGGGUAUGGACCCAUCGGUGCCGCAGCUAACGCAAUAAGCAAUCCACCUGGGGAGUACGUUCGCAAGAAUGCAACUCAAAUGAAUUGACGG